rnacentral:other from 1 species
AAAGCCCUGAGAUGUGCGUGAUUUACGAUUUUUAUUUUACCAACACUUUUUAUAAGGGAAUCUGACUUCGCCGGCGGCGCAUAUGCCCCCCGCAUUCGCGGCCAGGGGACAUGUAAAGCAAGCGAGAGGAUACCCACCUGCAUAUGCAGGUAAAAUAAAUCGGACGACACGGCAUCCUGGGGAUUUU